rnacentral:rRNA from 1 species
GGUAGCGGGGGAUAACUAUUGGAAACGAUAGCUAAUACCGCAUAAAAUUGAUUAUUGCAUGAUAAUUGAUUGAAAGAUGCAAUUGCAUCACUACCAGAUGGACCUGCGUUGUAUUAGCUAGUUGGUGAGGUAACGGCUCACCAAGGCGACGAUACAUAGCCGACCUGAGAGGGUGAUCGGCCACACUGGGACUGAGACACGGCCCAGACUCCUACGGGAGGCAGCAGUAGGGAAUCUUCGGCAAUGGGGGGAACCCUGACCGAGCAACGCCGCGUGAGUGAAGAAGGUUUUCGGAUCGUAAAGCUCUGUUGUAAGAGAAGAACGGGUGUGAGAGUGGAAAGUUCACACUGUGACGGUAUCUUACCAGAAAGGGACGGCUAACUACGUGCCAGCAGCCGCGGUAAUACGUAGGUCCCGAGCGUUGUCCGGAUUUAUUGGGCGUAAAGCGAGCGCAGGCGGUUAGAUAAGUCUGAAGUUAAAGGCUGUGGCUUAACCAUAGUAUGCUUUGGAAACUGUUUAACUUGAGUGCAGAAGGGGAGAGUGGAAUUCCAUGUGUAGCGGUGAAAUGCGUAGAUAUAUGGAGGAACACCGGUGGCGAAAGCGGCUCUCUGGUCUGUAAC